GUAGGUGGCAAGCGUUGUCCGGAAUUAUUGGGCGUAAAGCGCGCGCAGGCGGUUCUUUAAGUCUGAUGUGAAAGCCCACGGCUCAACCGUGGAGGGUCAUUGGAAACUGGAGAACUUGAGUACAGAAGAGGAAAGCGGAAUUCUACGUGUAGCGGUGAAAUGCGUAGAGAUGUGGAGGAACACCAGUGGCGAAGGCGGCUUUCUGGUCUGUAACUGACGCUGAGGCGCGGAAGCGUGGGGAGCAAACAGGAUUAGAUACCCUGGUAGUCCACGCCGUAAACGAUGAGUGCUAAGUGUUAGGGGGUUUCCGCCCCCUUAGUGCUGCAGCUAACGCAUUAAGCACUCCGCCUGGGAUACGGCCGCAAGGCUG
rnacentral:rRNA from 1 species